rnacentral:rRNA from 1 species
CGUCCAGACUCCUACGGGAGGCAGCAGUGGGGGAUAUUGCACAAUGGGGGAAACCCUGAUGCAGCGACGCCGCGUGGGUGAAGAAGCGCCUCGGCGCGUAAAGCCCUGUCAGCAGGGAAGAAAAUGACGGUACCUGAAGAAGAAGCCCCGGCUAACUACGUGCCAGCAGCCGCGGUAAUACGUAGGGGGUAAGCGUUAUCCGGAUUUACUGGGUGUAAAGGGGGCGCAGACGGCGAUGCAAGCCAGGAGUGAAAGCGAGGGGCCAAAACCAGGGACUGCUCUUGGAAAUGCGUGGAUGGAGUGAAGGAGGGGAAGGCGGAAUUAAUGGUGUAGAGGUGAAAUGAGUAGAUAUAAGGAGGAAAACCGGUGGAGAAGGCGGACUGAUGGAAUGAAAAUGAAGUUGAGGAAAGAAAGCGUGGGGAGCAAAAAGGAUUAGAUACACGUGUA